rnacentral:rRNA from 1 species
AGAGUGAACGCUGGCGGUAGGCCUAACACAUGCAAGUCGAACGGCAGCACAGUGGUAGCAAUACCAUGGGUGGCGAGUGGCGGACGGGUGAGGAAUACAUCGGAAUCUACCUUUUCGUGGGGGAUAACGUAGGGAAACUUACGCUAAUACCGCAUACGCCCUUCGGGGAAAGCCGGGGAUCGCAAGACC